UGUGCUAGAAUGGACCCAUUAUGAAGGCUUUUUGUUUUGUAAACACAUCCAGAAAAUGUCCAUAAAAAACAAUGGAAAAAAACAAAUUCCAGCCUAAAAAAACCCCAACAGCUUGCCCUCCAAGGACUAAGUCUUUAGCCUUCACAAGCACUUCAGCAAACUACAGGCGCACACAGGGGCCCAGACCUCCGCUCCAAAGGCCCCCACCACGUGCAUGUUGACAUGCCUGCAGCCCCUGCCACGCCAACCUCCCUCCAAUCACUUCUUCUUCAGAACAAGAGGCUCUGAAUAAAGUGUUCCUGAACAAAGCAUUGGUCUGAAGGUGCCCUGUAGAAAGGGAAAUUGCUCUGCUGACAGAGCGGACAACAGGACUGUGCUCAGAGAGGGCUAAGUGUUCACGAACCUGUCUGUGUACUGCUGGUCCUUUCAUCUGUUUUUCAAAAACACGUCUAAGAACAAUAUUUCUCUCUAUGCAAGAUGAGUGUUGAAACAAAGAAAAAUUAAAUAUCAACACACACACACAUCCCAGCACAUGUAUGCGCGCACGCACACACACACACACACACACACACACACACAGCAGCAGCAGCACACAGAUCAGGACUCUCUCAUACCCUCAGCUGUCCAUCUUUGACACUCUGGCCUGCAGGGAUCAAAUGAUGUGCUCAUAAGCCUUCAGGGUGUUUUAGUUCAACCCAAAAAUGCCCUUUUCUUGCGGAGAGAGUUUGGAAAGUUCGCCUGCCUCUAGGCUGAAUGUCUGGAUACAAGACUCAGAGGAAGAUGGUUCUCUUGGCUGAGCGCCCAGAGGACAAGCAGCAAGGAACAGAGGAGACCCCCGACCUCAGGGUUCCCUGCCUCUGCGGCACAGGUCUGGGGCUGGUGACCUGGUUAAUUAGGGACUACAAACAAAAUCUGGGGAGAACCCAAGGAUACAGCUGCUCUAGAAAGGAGCAAGUAUAGUGGGCUCUGCUCAUCCUCUUCCUUUGUGUGGACUUGACAGUUGCAAUCUAAGAAAAUCUAGCAAUUUCAAAGGGAAAGAUAUUUUCUCAACUAGAGGGUCAGCAACAGGAGGGUAGCUGCCACCUCUUCCCAACAUUCCUUUGCAUCACUGCACAGUCCUAGAAACAUCCAACAGACAUUUUUUAGAGAAAGUAAAGGUGUCCAAUGAAGUCCCCUAGCACUUUCUUUUUUUUUUUAAAUUUAAAAAAGUUUUCCUUAUGGCUGCAUAUAGAAGUUCCUGGGCGAGGGAAUGAAUCUGAGCCACAGCUGUGACCUGCACCGCAGCUGCAGCAAUGCCAGAUGCUUUAACCUACUCCAUCAGUCUGGGGAUCAAACCUGUGCCUCCACAGUGACCCAAGCCACCACGUAGUGGGAUUCUUAACCCACUCUCCCAUAGUGGGAACUCUCUCCCUGCUAGUGCUUUUAAAGGAAAUAGGAACAUCCCAAGACCACCUCUCUUCCAACAACUAAGCACAUUUUCACCACUUCAGGCUUUCUCUGUGCCCUACAUUUUGCUGAACUUACCCUCUGUAGAUGCUAAUCCCCACCAGGCUCACUGUAAAUAUUUCAUGCUGCCCCCACCUCCCUUACAAGUACUUGUCAGAAUUACUGAGGCUGCUAGACUGAAUUCAGGUUUGCUUCACCAGCUUUCCAUGUCACUUCUGUGUUACAAAGGUGCACUGUGCAUAGUGCAGCCUCAAUUUCAACUCAGCUUCCAGCUGGAACAAAACCAAUCUUUCUCCCUGGAUGCUUGCCUCAUUUUCUUCAUUGAAGAAAAUGGCAUUAGGCGUUCCCGUCAUGGAGCAGUGGUUAACGAAUCUGGCCCAUGGGGUUGUGGGUUCAAUCCCUGGCCUUGCUCAUGGGUUAAGGAUCUGGCGAUGCCAUGAGCUGCAGUGUAGGUCAGACUCAGCUCGGCCCUGGAAUUGUUGAGGCUGUGAAAUAGGCUGUAGCUCCAAUUCAGCCCCUAGCCUGGGAACUUCCCUAUGUCACAGGUGUGGUCCUAAAAAGCAAAAAAAUAAAAAUAAACGAAAAUUCAGGGCCAUAAAACUAGCUGUUCCUCAAGGUUAUGAUUAAGAGAGGUGUUUUUAGUGCUCCUGGAGGCUCACAUGCUCUCCUAUUUAAGAAAUAACUGAAUGGCAUUUUACAUGUGAAAUCGCCUAACUGUGGUCUCCCGUGUGCUUUUGGCAGGGCCUUGCUUCCUCAGGCCAAGGCAAGACAGAUGCCCACCGACAGGAACAAAGUGGAGAGCAUUACAGGCUGGCUGGACUUGUGGCGGCAGCCUCCUGUCCAUCCCCGCCCGCUGCCUCACCUCACCUUCCUCAAGACUACAGGAUACCCUCCCCAACCCUCUCCAGCUUGGCGAGUCCAGAGCUGACCUUCCUUCCAGUCCCCAAGCCCUUUGCCUGUCACCUUCAGGUAAAGAAAGAAAUCCUUCAUCCAUCAGCAAUAACCAGAGAGCUUUUUGCAAUGUUGUCUGCACACAGAUGGCUUUCUAUCAAUGAAGGCUGAGUCACCUAAUCCAUGAAUCAGCCAACAUCCCCCGUAAUCAUGAGUACUUCCUGCCUGCCCAGGGUCAUCCAGGACCUCGGAAGUGUGGUCCACCAGUGCUGUCCACCCCUCCCUGGAAUCUUAACCAAGAGGAGCCACCAAGGGGGCAAAUGGGGGGACACAAUCAUCCCUCCCAGUCACUCACCCUCUGCCAUUCCAGAACUUCAGGCAAUGAUGGUUUAUUACAUCACUUACUGUGUGCUACGUGCCAGGCAGCGGGUCAGCGGCUUUACGUGCAUUCUUUCACUUAAGCCUGGCAACAAAUCUGAGCAGGAGGUACAGUUAUUAUUCUCAGUUUAUAUAUAAACCUGCUUGGCAGAGCUGAAUAACUCACCCAAGGCUACCCAGUCUGUACGUGGUAGAAUGUGAUAAGAUUCAGGACUUUGGAGCCAACACUGUUAAUCAGAGAAGACAAGGGUUGCUGAUGCUGACACUGGAGGGUCAGUAAGAGCCAAUCAGCCUGGAUGAUGCUAGAAAUCUGUUAGAAAAGAGGCUCCAGGAAUUCCUGUUGUGGCUCCAUGGGUUAAGAACUCAACACAGUGACUGUUUCAUCCCUGGCCCCACUCAGUGGGUUAAGGAUCUGGCAUUGCCACAAGCUACAGUGUAGGUCACAGAUGUGGCUCAGAUCUGGUGUUCCUGUGGCUGUGCCUGGCAGGUGCAGCUCCAAUUUGACCCCCAGCCUGGGAACUUCCAUAUGCCACAGGCAUGGCCAUAGGAAGGAAGGAAGGAAGGAAGGAAGGAAGGAAGGAAGGAAGGAGUCUCCAUCUGUCCUGAGGACCGACCCCAAGAGCCAGCCCAGGUGAGCUGGUUAGUGAGUUCUCAUGCAUUGGAAGGAAACUUCCAAACAACACACACCAGCAGAACCCAGUCUCCGGGGACUGCCAAGCCCAGAACUUAGAGAAGCCUGGAGUGGAUGGUGGGUGCUCAGCUUGAAGGAACCUGAGCAGCCCUUUGAAAGGCUUUCUGCAUCAAAGCAAUGAAGCUCCCACAUUCACUAAACAUCUUUGACAGGAGCAACCUGGUGGCGUCCGUGUUUUAUUUACCCCAUCAGUUACCCUUUGUCCCUGGCAACUGGCUGGAGGAGCCUUUUCUGCUCCUCUUUUUCCUAGGGCUUCACUGCCAAGGACUUACGGUCCUAAAGCCUUGCUUUACACCUCUACCUCCACACUUUUAUCGUCAGCCAAAUAGUACAUGCAAUUACCUGCUGAACUGAUAGAAAUGGAUAAAUCUAUGGAGUCAGCCAUGGUCCAAUGGAAAAACAACAGGAUCUUAAGUUAGCUGAUUCUGGGUCCUAUCAGACUCUACACUUUGGGGGUAUGAUUUUUUUUUUUUAAAUCAUACCCCCAAAUAAAAUGCCUAUAAUAAUAAAGCCAACUGCAGGGAGGAAACAAACGACUAAGGGUCUCCGCCCUCUAAGAGUAAAUGCAAAAGGUACACACACACACACACAACAAUGGUCAUGCCCAGAUAAGAGAUUAUAUACCUGAAUGUUUUAUACGCAUCUUUUCCUACUUAACUGUCAUUUGUCAGUAGUUGAAGGUUGUCUGCACACUACUUCCUUACCUGCCCCCAUCCCAGAAAAAGAAAACAUUUUCACGCCAAUAGAAGGUGCUGGAUAAUGUAAUUGGAUCCAGUGCUACUGCAGCCCGUGUUUCUCCGGAAUACACUUCACUCCUGCUGACAUCCGAACAUCAGAUGAAGCAGAGGAGCUAUCAGAGGUGAGCACCGCACUCCCAGAGCUGAGAGGUAAAAGUGACCAUCCUGACUGGCUGGGGAAAGAUCCAAGAGCAGCCCAGGCUGCCCACCGAUUCUCCAAAGGCAGGAACCUGGUUUUCAAGUUGUGAUAAGGGACCCUGAGGCUCACUUUCCCUGACACAGUCCUAGGGCCCUAAAUUUCAGGUGGGAACUAUUCCAUUGGUUUAGGUUUUACUUCAGAAAGUAUUUUAAAAUAUAUUUCUGCAGAAGGAAAAUAUUUAACCCUGCCCUUUUCACCUGAGAAAUGUAUAGGGCCAUUUUAUUUAUUUAUGUAGGUUUUUUUUUGUCUUUUUAGGGACGCACCCACAGCAUAUGGAGGUUCCCAGGCUAGGGAUCAAAUUGGAGCUGCAGCUGCCAACCUACACGACAGCCACAGCAACUAGGCAUCUGGGCCUUGUCUAUGCACCUACAGCACAGCUCACGGCAAUGUGGGAUCCUUAACUCAUUGAGCAAGGGCAGGGAUCGAACUCACAACCUCAUGGUUUCUAGUCGGAUUCGUUAACCACUGAGCCACGACGGGAACCCCAUUUAUAGGACCAUUUUAAAGGAAAAAAAACUUAUCUGACUCCCCUGUACAUCCAUUAAGAACGUCUUGAGUAUUACU
rnacentral:lncRNA from 1 species